rnacentral:rRNA from 1 species
AGGAAUAUUGGUCAAUGGACGAGAGUCUGAACCAGCCAAGUAGCGUGAAGGAUGACUGCCCUAUGGGUUGUAAACUUCUUUUAUAUGGGAAUAAAGUGGUCCACGUGUGGAUUUUUGUAUGUACCAUAUGAAUAAGGAUCGGCUAACUCCGUGCCAGCAGCCGCGGUAAUACGGAGGAUCCGAGCGUUAUCCGGAUUUAUUGGGUUUAAAGGGAGCGUAGGCGGACGCUUAAGUCAGUUGUGAAAGUUUGCGGCUCAACCGUAAAAUUGCAGUUGAUACUGGGUGUCUUGAGUACAGUAGAGGCAGGCGGAAUUCGUGGUGUAGCGGUGAAAUGCUUAGAUAUCACGAAGAACUCCGAUUGCGAAGGCAGCUUGCUGGACUGUAACUGACGCUGAUGCUCGAAAGUGUGGGUAUCAAACAGGAUUAGAUACCCUGGUAGUCCACACAGUAAACGAUGAAUACUCGCUGUUUGCGAUAUACAGUAAGCGGCCAAGCGAAAGCGUUAAGUAUUCCACCUGGGGGAGUACGCCGGCAACGGUGAAACUCAAAGGAAUUGACGGGGGCCCGCACAAGCGGAGGAACAUGUGGUUUAAUUCGAUGAUACGCGAGGAACCUUACCCGGGCUUGAAUUGCAACUGAAUGAUGUGGAGACAUGUCAGCCGCAAGGCAGUUGUGAAGGUGCUGCAUGGUUGUCGUCAGCUCGUGCCGUGAGGUGUCGGCUUAAGUGCCAUAACGAGCGCAACCCUUAUCGAUAGUUACCAUCAGGUUAUGCUGGGGACUCUGUCGAGACUGCCGUCGUAAGAUGUGAGGAAGGUGGGGAUGACGUCAAAUCAGCACGGCCCUUACGUCCGGGGCUACACACGUGUUACAAUGGGGGGUACAGAAGGCAGCUACACGGCGACGUGAUGCUAAUCCCUAAAGCCUCUCUCAGUUCGGAUUGGAGUCUGCAACCCGACUCCACGAAGCUGGAUUCGCUAGUAAUCGUAGAUCAGAAUGCUACGGUGAAUACGUUCCCG